GUUAGAGUAAGCAACAGAAAUAGAGGUGUCUGGUGGCUGAGCAGUUGGUUGUUGUUAAGAAGCAGCUUGAGGCUCCUGAGAAGCAAAAACAGCUUCUGAGAGCUGAAACAGAGUCCAGUUUUUGUUUUUUUAAGGCUGCUGACUCCCUUUCCUGAACCGACAGAGACUGAUUAAACAUCAGGGCUCUUUAGAAACAACAAAGACCAAAGUUCUCCGGAGACAUUAGACACUGGCUAAGAGGGUCUGAGAUAAAGAGAGGAACAAAUGAGCAAAGUCCCUGCACAUUUGUGGGGACAAGAUAAAAAUGAGAAACCAAGAAGAAAAAUAAUCCUGCAACUUUCGGGUUCCAGAAUGGCCACGAUGACGCCACUUCCGGCCAUUCUUGAUGACGUCACUUCCGGCACCCACAAAUCACCUCACUUCCUGCUGCAGCGUCAUAACAUGCCAACCAUUUCUUGUCACAUGUUUUUCUCUGCUAUAUAACUGCCAUUUUGUCACAGUAAAAAUGUUCAUUGUAAUUCCAAACUUUGAAUCGCUUC